GAGCUGCUAGGUUGGUGAACACAUGGAGGUGCGGGGAGGGUGGCGAGCCCAGCGAGGACGUGGAUUCCCCACGGCCCUUCCCACAUACCCCGUUCUUUCAUUUGGCUGUUUCUGAGUUGUGUGCUUUAUAAUCAACUGACAAUGAACAGUGGAAGUACCAAGUCAAAGAACAAAAAACAAAAACAAAACCACAAUAAAAAACCUAGGAGAGAAGCAAUAAUAUGGAGAAAGUGCAAGAAUGAAUUAGCUGCCCAUGCCCAGCUAAUUGAGGUGAAGGCUGGAAGAGGUCCAGGAAAGAAUCUCACCAUAGCUGAUGGAGUGGUUCAGGAGCUGGAGAUCUGGGCUUGGAAGACACCUCUCUAUGAAUGAAUGAGAUACAGCUCAUGUUCCUAUUGCAGAGGAUGAAAAGCAGGCCCACAGAGAAGAAAAAUGUAGAGUCUAAAGGAUAUGACAACAGUACUGGGUAGAGCCUAGGUAAAUAGCAUUGGAGAGGUUACACCAAUGAGAAUCGGGAUGUUCCAGCAGACGGAGAAUGACAGUGACUCUGGAGGAUGUAGUGGUCUCCCAGACUGUGAGGGCAGGAAGGGAUCUUAGUUCCAUCCAUUUGCUGUGUAGGGGAGGAAAAUGAAUGGAGAAAAAGGCCAAGUAAAAUGUUCAAGGGCAUAGAUGUCAUUCUGCUGCUCAGAACUUGCCUUCCUCACUCUUAUUUCUCACCUUGCCUUUCCUUCUCCUUGUUUACAGAAUGAAGUCCAACUCUUUAGUAUGACAUCAAUGGCUUGACUUUGCAGUUUGACUUCAUAGUAAUCCCUUUGCUUAUUUUUCAGUUUGCCUAAAAAUAUUCUGUGCUUUUCCCUGAUUCCCAGCUCAUGCUAUUCUUUCUGAAUUGAAUGUCUCUCUUUCCUCUAUCCAUUUCUUGAAAUUCUGGAUUUAAGAGCCAGUUUAAGACUCAGAAUUCUAAAUGUCCAAAACAUUUUCUUCAAAUCUCUCCCUUCCAAGAAAUAUUUUUCCUUAUUUCCAAGCCAUAUAUCACUCUGUGGUAUUUCUCUUGUGUAAAUGUCACCUUGUAUCAUGACUGCUAGAGUUCUCAUAAUCAGGUGGCAAACUCUUUAACAACAAUAAAGCUGCUUUAGUAAUUUUUGUGCCCACCAUCACUCAGAGCUUGUACAUAUUAAGGGCCGAGCAGUAUUUACUGCUAGGAACAAAGGAACGAAUAAAUGAAGCUAUUAAAUCUCAAAAAAAAAAAAAAAAAAAAAA
rnacentral:lncRNA from 1 species